CAGAAUAUAGGAGACUUUAAAGUCAUCCUUAGUAUCAAACUCAGCCUCUGCUUUUUGAUCAAAUUGAACACGGGUCUUUUCUUCAAAGAAAUUUUCCUUCAUUGCCGCAUCAGAAGGAUUAAUAUCUUCAAUCAUUGAGCCUGCCAGUUCUUGGUUAUCACUGCCAUUUUGUACAUGAUCAUCGGAUAAGAAGUGGAAGAUUUUGCACGGAGACUGAAUUCUGAUUGGCCUGAAAGAAUGCAAGAAAUCCUAUCUCUAGGCCAGGAUAUAAGGCUUGUUUCGAAUUUGCUGAAUGGGAAUAGUUCCCUUAGAAGAUACACAGGAUCUCGAACCAAAUUGGCAUUUGAUGCAUGAUAGGCUUCAAGCUGUCAAAAGCAUAGAUGAGGUCAUCCAGUUCCAUGAUUUCUACCUCUAGAAAUGCUUAAAGGAAUGCUUGUUUCUCUUGCUGCCGCAAGUUCUGAAGGUCAAUUUUUUGUUAUUGUUCUGAAGGUCAAUUGAUUGUACAUUUCUGAAGCAUUGAAUGUUCUUGACUCUUGCAGUUCCGAUUGUAAAUAAACAUAUAAAUAG